rnacentral:sRNA from 15 species
CAAAUCCUUUGAUUUGUGUAUUCGAUUUCCAGCGAAUCUGCCCAUAACUUCCGUUUUUGUUCAUUAACUGGCAUUCUAAACGUUUUCAGGUAUUAUACCAUGAACCAAAUGUUAAAAAAAAGUGACGCUUCUUUUUCACUGAUUUGUUGAGAUAUCGAUAGAAUUAAGGAAUCGAAUGGAUUAUUUAUUCGAUUAUAUCGAAAGUGUGACCAGACACACAAGACAAGCAAUGGCUUAAUUAUUGAUUUAUUUUGUAUUCGUAUAAAUAUAAAACUAAGUUAAUUCUUUCUCCAAAAUGGCUUACAAAUUUAAAUAUAUGGCAAAUAUAAUUUUAA